ensembl:snoRNA SNORA77 small nucleolar RNA, H/ACA box 77
GCAGACUCACUCUGUUCUUUGCUGCUCUCUCCAGCCUGGAACUUUUUCUGUCUGCUACAUGAACAUGCAGAAUUUAACACUUCACUGGCUCUCUGAAAGGCCCGUGUCAGUUUGUUCUGCUACAUUACC